GCCUUAGAGGCAGCACUGAGUUGUUUCGGAGAAGACAGACUGGAUAUUCUAGAGACCAGGGGGCAUGCAGGUUAAGUUCCCUCAAGAAAAAGGCCCGUAAUCCAAGCCCAUCUGCUUUGUUCAGCCACUCAUUUCAGCCCGACCACCGAGUCCUCAGGGGACCAUCUCAGCUCCCAUGAAUGACGCCAAGGCUCUUCCUUCAUGAACGCUAUUUGGUCAACGUUUUAUGAUGUUGCUUGUUUUUUCUAAUGUGUGUAUUUGAAGUCCCAGAAUCCUCACUUCCUGUCAGGCUCCCCCAUGCCUCUCUCCUCCGGUUUCUGAAGGAACAAGGAGGGGGGAACUUCAGAUCGCAAUUUCUCAAUGAAGACACCUUCUGUCAAAGCUGUCAGCAUCCCUGGAGCAAUUAGCAUUCCCUUUUUCUUUCUCUCUCUCCCCAACCUCCCCCCUCUCCCUUUCUCUCUCCUUCAACACUGAGGUUUAUUUCUUGUCACAGCUUUACCUGGGCCUUGGAGAGCCACCUCCCUUGUUAGCAGCCUUUGAAAGAAGCUUAAAGUCUCGGGAAAGAGUGAUUUUUGGAGGCUCUGAAAGGCAAUGCUGUAACUCGAUAGGCCUGUAAUCUGCACGCUGAGAUUAAUUGGAAAGAAUUAGGGAAGGGACUACAGGGAGCCGCCAUCAUCCUUCCCGGGGAAAUUCGUAGAUGGGGCCUCGUACGUCUUUGCCACCUCCACCCCGAGAGUCCCAUUGAUAAAUGCGCAGUGCAGGUGUCUGAUUAAUUUAGACCUGUGUUUGGCUGCAUCUGGGCCAUCCGCUCCCUGAGUCUGACCCACGAUUUCUAGAUUCAUCCACAGCCGUCUUCCUCCUGCUUCAACUGCACUGCACCCAGCUCACCCGCAGCUCCAAACCUGCUCCAAAGAUGCUGGGUGGGAGCCUGAUGGAGAAGUCAACUCCUGGUUCUGCAUCUGUUGUAACCCCUUCUUUCUCCUCCUGUUUCCUUUCUUGGUUACUGCCUGCUGCCCUGGUGGGAGUGUUGAGUAACAGGUGGAACCUGGGCACACGUUCCUACGUGACCAAGCCAAGUAGCUCAUUUAGGCCAGCGUUCCCGAUGGGCAGUGACAGAAGAGGGCUGUGGAAGUGACUGUUUUCUCUGCAGCCCUCCCAGGACGCAUGCCAACAUUUUAGUAACUCACUCUCUGGGGACCCUGCCACAUGUACUUAGAAAGCAAGUCUGUGGACUUGCCAAAAUUGGCAGUUUGGGCUUGUAUUUUUUAAUUUACUUAUUCUUUGUCAUGUAUGCACUCCUCUGGUUAAAAAGGCCAGCUGAGCCCUUGUUUUUUGGCCCCUUUCUUUCUUUACUUAGAAAGUGGUGGUUCAGAAGGAAACCCACUGCUAGAUCCCCACUCUGUCUGCACAUCCUUUUAUUUCUGACUUUCCCAGUUUUGGAGCCAGUGGUCAUCAAUAGUUUAUCAAUAGCCUCAUGAACUGAAAGCU
ensembl:lncRNA